rnacentral:rRNA from 1 species
CCUACGGGGAGCAGCAGUGAGGAAUAUUGGUCAAUGGGCGCGAGCCUGAACCAGCGAAGUAGCGUGAAGGAUGACUGCCCUACGGGUGUUAAACUUCUUUUAUAAAGGAAAAAAGUUACACACGUGUACCAUUUUGUAUUUACUGUAUCAAUAAGGAUCGGCAAACUACGUGCCAGCACACGAGGUCAUACGGAGGAUACGAGCGUUAUCCGUAUUUGUUUGGUUUAAAGGUAUCGUACAUUGGUUGUUAAGUCAGUUGUGAACGUUUGCGGGUCAACCGUAAUAUUGCAAUUGAUACUGGCAGCCUUGAGUUCAGUAGAGGUAAGCGGAAUUCGAGGUGUAGCGGUGAAAUGCUUAGAUAUCACGAAGAACACCGAUUGCGAAGGCAGCUUACUAAACUGCCACUGACAUUGAGGCUCGAAAGUGUGGGUAUCAAACAGGAUUAGAUACCCCAGUAGUC